UUUUUUGAAAUCUUUCCCCAAUAUUCUACCCUUUUCACUGACUACAAGUGAUUUUUCUAAACUACAAAUCUGAUCAUGUCGUUCCCCGACUUAAAAGUAGUCUACUUCAGAACUAGGUCACCAUUAGGAAAGGGUCGCUCUUUUUAGCUCCUCCAGGUUAACAUCAUCGUAACGUCUCUAAAUCACUCAAUCUAGGAAUGCCCCUUUGCAUACACUAGCGCCACACCAUGUGAGCUAAGUGCUCUCUCUGUUCUGGCUCCCUCAUAACCGUUGUUUGGCUCUCAGAGCUCCUUGAAUGAUUCCUCUUCCGAGAAGUCCCCUUUGUUGUUUCUUCCUUUAGCUCCCCCCUCCCCACCCCACCUGCCACCCCACCCCCCACCCCACCUGCCACCCCACCUCCCACCCCACCUGGCCUUCCCUUGCCUUGCUCUUUUGCAUUUGAGACACAGUUAUUUCCUGACUGCAUUUUUUUCUAUUACAUGUUUUUCUGAGCUCUGGUCGGGCAAGCUGUGACUGAAAUUGUUUCCUGGCUGCUGAUUCACUGGUUUGCUCCAUCCUUUGGAGUGGGGGACCCUCUGGAUUCCAGACCACGUGGCUCCCUGUCCCACUGGUACUUUUGGUUUCAGCGGGUUGUUGGUCCUGACACCACCAGACACCCCUGAAUCUUUCCCCAUCUUUUCAGAGAUCAUUCACUGAUAUACUGAGUUAUUAUGCAGUUCUGGAUAAAUCAUUUAACCUUUCUCUUUCUGGGGUUUUGUUUUUGUUUUUAGUUUUAAGUUUUCCCAGUUUACAAAUAAGAGUCUAGAUAAGCCAAAGACUGCCCUCAUAGGGCUUGUGAGAAUUAAGUGAAAUAAAGCAUGUAAAAACACUUUGUUAAGUGCAAAGUGCUAAACUAAUAUAAGAUAUUAUUUUAUUGCAAUGCUUUUACUCAAAUACAUAAUUCCUGGAUGUAAUUUUCUUUGUAAGGAGCUUUGUGAUUUGAAAGUAUUGACUGAAAGGGCACCUAGGUGGCUUAGUUGGUUAAGCGUCCAACUCCUGAUUUCAGCUCAGGAUCGGAAGAGCUGUCUUACAGCGGGGAUACUGGGGCAGGAAGGAGGCUGCUGGAUGUCACUGUCCACCAGGCACUGCAGUAGCUGGGCAACAGAGAUGUCACAAGUGCCACAGGAGUUGAGGCACUCUGCUACAAAGUCCCUGGCUGGGAGGGGAGGGUUGCUGGAGGAAGCUGCUGGCUGGUAA
rnacentral:lncRNA from 1 species